rnacentral:rRNA from 1 species
GUACCGUCAGUACAAUAUGGUAUUCGCAUAUUGCAGUUUCUUCCCACUUGACAGAGUUUUACGACCCGAAAGCCUUCUUCACUCACGCGGCGUUGCUGCGUCAGGGUUGCCCCCCAUUGCGCAAAAUUCCUCA